GAUGAACGCUGGCGGCGUGCUUAACACAUGCAAGUCGAACGGAAAGGCUCCUGCUUGCAGGGGUACUCGAGUGGCGAACGGGUGAGUAACACGUGGGUGAUCUGCCCUGCACUUCGGGAUAAGCCUGGGAAACUGGGUCUAAUACCGGAUAGGACGAUGGUUUGGAUGCCAUUGUGGAAAGUUUUUCGGUGUGGGAUGAGCUCGCGGCCUAUCAGCUUGUUGGUGGGGUAAUGGCCUACCAAGGCGUCGACGGGUAGCCGGCCUGAGAGGGUGUACGGCCACAUUGGGACUGAGAUACGGCCCAGACUCCUACGGGAGGCAGCAGUGGGGAAUAUUGCACAAUGGGCGCAAGCCUGAUGCAGCGACGCCGCGUGGGGGAUGACGGCCUUCGGGUUGUAAACUCCUUUCGCUAGGGACGAAGCGCAAGUGACGGUCCCUGGAGAAGAAGCACCGGCUAACUACGUG
rnacentral:rRNA from 1 species